rfam:Gossypium hirsutum cultivar TM-1 chromosome 16, whole genome shotgun sequence
AACCCAUAGUGAGAGAACCUUCUCAAUAAAUCCUUAUACCUCUCCCAUGCAUCAUAUAGAGUCUCUGCGUCCAUCUGCAUGAAGGAAGAGAUAUCAUUCCUCAACUU